GGGCGUGUGGCUCAGUUGGUAGAGCGUUCGCUUAGCAUACUCCUCUGUAUGCGAAAGGUCCUGGGUUCGAUUCCCAGCUCGUCCA
rnacentral:tRNA from 1 species